AUGUGAAAAGCAGAACUUCUGAACUCUUCAAUAUUUUUAAGAAGGCAAGCUAAUACAGCGGCUUACACGCUUGGCCCUGUGCUGUCUCCUACAAUGUGCCACCACCAGACUUGCCUCUGCUUGGGAUUUGCUCUACAAAAUUAAAUUUACCAGGAGGAGGGUUCACCUCCCUUGUUUGAGCAGUUUGGAAUGUGGGACAACAUUCCAUUUAGACAUACCAAGAAAAAACAUGGAGUGAUUGCACUGACCUCAAUGUAAUUACUCAGCGCUGAAUUAAAGGCACAGGACAUCUGGAGUAACAAGAAGACAUCAAAAUCCCAGCUUUUGUUAGUAAUCCAAAUGUUUCUAGGCCUCAAGACGCAUUUGUAAAGAGAGACUCUUGAUAAAACAAUGACCAUCUCCCAGCUCAGCAGAACGCUCCCGUGACUCUGCAGGGUGUACUUACAGCCAGAAUGUCCUGCAAGUUUCCAAGCAGCAAACAUCACCAGUACAGAGAAGUUUAAGAGUGUAAAUCAAGUCACAGAACCUGCCUGUGCAUCCUGUGGCUACAGUGAGAGACGGGAUCUGCGGUUUUCCUCCUCUAUUGGUUCCUUAGCUGAAGGCUCCUAUGCUGUGGUAGCUUUCUGCAGGCCACCACCACCCCUUCUCUGAAGCUACGAGCCAGUGAGUGAACUUGUG